CAGUAGCCACGGUAAUACGGAGGGUGCAAGCGUUAAUCGGAAUUACUGGGCGUAAAGCGCACGCAGGCGGUCUGACAAGUCAGAUGUGAAAUCCCCGGGCUUAACCUGGGAACUGCAUUUGAAACUGUCAGGCUGGAGUCUUGUAGAGGGGGGUGGAAUUCCAGGUGUAGCGGUGAAAUGCGUAGAGAUCUGGAGGAAUACCGGUGGCGAAGGCGGCCCCCUGGACAAAGACUGACGCUCAGGUGCGAAAGCGUGGGGAGCAAACAGGAUUAGAUACCCCUGUAGUCCCUGUCUCUUAUAU
rnacentral:rRNA from 1 species